UUUAAUAAUUGGUUUGUCAUACAUUUCGUUGCGAGGGUUUCGAAAAAUGGUAUACAUGUAUUAUUUGCGGAGUUCAGCAACCCUCAAGCAAUAUUAUGCACCUGUUUCUCUGCCUUUAAAUCCUAUAUAUUAACAAUACAAAAUCCUUCAUAGACCACUGUUGGGAGGAAAUGAAGCGCGUACCAGGCACCUUCGGAGGAUUGUUCGCUGAUGGCUUCCAAGGACGGAAAUCAUUCCUCUGUAUAUUCUCUGGCGCAAAUAUUCAUCAAUGGUAUUCCUUCAUCUGCAGUUUUCUAUUGUAGUUGUUGUUGGUAUGUUAGAAUUUACUCAUCUAUUUCAAUUUUAUGUUGUUCUAUUUCAAUUUUAUAUAUGCACACCAUGUGUUUCUUAAAACGUUGUUGUGGAUUCUCAUUAAAUUUAUGUUGUUUUAUUUCAUUUCUAUAUAUGCACAUCGUGUUUUUAAUUAAAUGUUGUUGUGGAUUCACAUCAAUUUUAUGUUGUUCUAUUUCACAAAUGAGUUCAUGAUCAUAAAGCAAGAAUGCUCCUUGGAUUAGUCCUAAUUGUUGUUAGUCUUUUCUUGCCGCUGAAGCUCUUCCAUUGUUGUUGUUUCCUCUACUAUUUUGUUUCUCUAAUCAGCCUGUUUGUUAGUUCAUAUGUUGUUUAUUGCCUUUUCGGUAGGGGCCUGAUGUCAUGGUGGGAGCUGGGUCAACUGAAACAUGGUGAUCAAAAGAAGGUAGAAUCUUUGGGAAAAAGCAUGGUGGCAAUUAAAAUACAUUCUUGAUGAUAUGUGAGUA
rnacentral:lncRNA from 1 species